UACGUAGGGGGCAAGCGUUGUCCGGAUUUAUUGGGCGUAAAGAGCGUGUAGGCGGCCUUACAGGUCAGCUGUGAAAACUCGAGGCUCAACCUCGAGACGUCGGUUGAAACCGUAUGGCUAGAGUCCGGAAGAGGAGAGUGGAAUUCCCGGUGUAGCGGUGAAAUGCGCAGAUAUCGGGAAGAACACCCGUGGCGAAGGCGGCUCUCUGGGACGGUACUGACGCUGAGGUGCGAAAGCGUGGGGAGCAAACAGG
rnacentral:rRNA from 1 species